rnacentral:misc_RNA from 1 species
CCAAUAGCGUAUAUUAAAGUUGUUGCAGUUAAAAAGCUCGUAGUUGAAUUUCGGGAUCAGUAGGUCGGUCGUGCCACUGGUAUGAACUGGUCUCACUGGUUCCUCCCUCUUGACGAACUGCAAUGCUAUUAAUUUAGUGUUGUAGGAAAUCAGGACUGUUACUUUGAAAAAAUUAGAGUGUUUAAAGCAGGCUUUGGCUUGAAUACAUUAGCAUGGAAUAAUGAAAUAGGACGUUCGAUCCUAUUUUGUUGGCUUCUAGGAUUGACGUAAUGAUUAAUAGGGACAGUUGGGGGCAUUAGUAUUCAAUUGUCAGAGGUGAAAUUCUUGGAUUUAUUGAAGACUAACUACUGCGAAAGCAUUUGCCAAGGAUGUUUUCAUUAAUCAAGAACGAAAGUUAGGGGAUCGAAGACGAUCAGAUACCGUCGUAGUCUUAACCAUAAACUAUGCCGACUAGGGAUCGGAUGAUGUUAAUUUUUUAAUGACUCAUUCGGCGCCUUACG